rnacentral:rRNA from 1 species
UACGUAGGGUGCAAGCGUUGUCCGGAAUUAUUGGGCGUAAAGAGCUCGUAGGCGGUCUGUCGCGUCUGCUGUGAAAAUCCAGGGCUCAACCCUGGACCUGCAGUGGGUACGGGCAGACUAGAGUGCGGUAGGGGAAAUCGGAAUUCCUGGUGUAGCGGUGAAAUGCGCAGAUAUCAGGAGGAACACCGGUGGCGAAGGCGGAUCUCUGGGCCGUAACUGACGCUGAGGAGCGAAAGCCAGGGGAGCAAACGGG